UCUUUUCUGUGCCUUAUUUGGCUGUUUAUUUGAAGAAAAUGAGUUUUAAGCUCAACAUGUUCCAAAUAAAUCUAAAUCUAGUAGAAGGGUGAUGGAUGGAAUCUAUAGCCAAAUAAGGCGGUUUUGCAGCAGUAGCCAAUUGAGUUUAUUGUAUCUACAGAAUAUGAAAAUCUUUGGAAAGCUCAAAUGAUCUGCGUGAGUGGUAAAGACCUAGAUUUCCUGGAACGUGCAUGACAAAGGAAAACAGCAGGUUUUCGCUGAAGUCUGUUCUAGGUGGUGAUGGGGUCAAAAUGGACCUUUCAGGGAAACCCUGCUGCAUGGCAUACUUUUUGAACUUCUCAAUCAGCUCGGGUCUCAACGUCUGGGUACGACCUAGAAGGAGAUCAAAGGCGUUACAUUGUCAGAAAAAAGGUCAAAGUUUUUCUGAGGCUGGAUGUCUCCAAAGGUGUCUCUCAGGAGCACGGCCAAAACGAUGGUCACAAGGAUGAACUUCAUGGUCAAAGGAGAACAGUGGAACAGAGCCAGGAAAACAGAGCAGGUCAAGCAGCACUGAGCACCAAGGGCUUUUGUAAGAUGGUGCCAGCCUGCACAGCUCCACCCCAACUAACCCAGCCAAUCAGAGACACGUACAGGCAUCUAACAAAGUUACUUUUCAUGGAAAGGUAAAGCUACAUGGAAAAAGAAAUAACCAGUCAAAGCACACACUCAGCAUGUUUCACAUGCGGAACAUAUUUAACAGCAGACAGCCCUGCUUUUUCCACUACCUGUACGUUUGCUCUGGUCAGGUACCACUGUUUACUACUCAUAUUUGACAUUUUAGACACAACCUUCACCUGGAGGAUAAGUUUAGGUUCUUCUUUGCAUGUGUCGUCCUACACAGAGGUGGAAAAGCACUCUGUACAAAAUGAUAAACAACAUACAAAAUGAUUUUAACUUUAAAAAGGUCACCUAGUUAGUUUAUAAUUUUUAAUUCAUUUAACUUCUACACUCUCAGAAAAACGGGAUGAAACUGUCACUGGGGUGGUUCCCUCAAGGGUACAUGUCAGCACCUUAAUCCACUGAAAUUAUAUUGUCUAAUCAGUAUUGACUCCACACCCCGUCUCGUCUCCAGGCUUUUUAUUUUAUUGUUCUGUUUUACAACAUUCGAUUAAGAAAAGGUACAAAUACAUACUUUUCACCUAGAAAAACUAAUUUAAGGUUUACAACUGGACCUUAAAACCACUGUUGUACCCUUGAGGGAACAUUGUUUGUACCAAUGAAAAUGUACCUGCACAGAAUCUUUAUUCCUAACGGUUUAAAAUUAAGUUUACAAAGCACACCUAUUUGUUUUUUAAGUUUUUUUGUUAAACUACAUCAGAGUUCAGACAAUGAGAUGAUUCUGGUUGCUCCAAAAAUGCAAUGCAAGAGGCUACUCUAACUUGGUUGCUAAUGUUAGCAUAUGUGUUUAGCGAUUCUCCAACCAAUUAGUAAUCUGUAGCAUUUUUAUGCACCUUUUGGUAUCGGCUCAGCUCGCUUGGAAUCUUGACAGAUAUGGUACCAAAAAACUAUUGGGAACUAGGUACCAGGAACUUCUCUGUGAUGGAAAACCAAAAAAAGGUGAGUAGAGUUGAGUUGAAUCGAGCCGGUAUCAAGCAGUGGAGAAACGCCUUUGAAGAACAGUUAGAUCCCAUUGUUUUGAAUGUGUCCCAAAGUCUAAAAAUCAGUGCAGAUCAUUAAGAAUUAUCCCUACCAAAACACAUUUUCUGCAAUUAAGUAAACUUUUCUGUGUCUUUAUAAAAGACAUGAUGAUUUUAUGUGUGUACAACUGCUCAAAGCACUGUUUGCUAGUCUUGUACUGGCUGGCAUUUUGGAGUUUUUGAGCUCAAAAUAAAAUAGUUGCUACUGAAAUUGUUGCUAAAAUUGUUGCUACCGAAACAGGAACUACUGAGUUUCGGUAGUGUUAUGAUCUAUGUAUUAGUGAUCAAACUGAAUGGCCUUCAGCUCUGGAACAAGGAUAAGAAAAAAAAAAAUCUCUACAAUAAUGCUAAUUUCUACUAGUGGAAUACUGUUAGCGCUAAGCUAAGCUAAGCUAAGAGCUGUUCACAUUAAUAUUUUGUGGUUGUUCUAGAUUAAACAUAAAUGUUUAAAGCUUGCAAAAUAUAUUUUGUUUUAUCUGAUGCUUCUAACAGACAUCUAAACAUAUCUUACCACUUCUAUUCACUGUUUUCUAUUUAACAACAGACUGAAACCUGGUUAACCUACUGCUAAUAUUCAGUCAGUGACGUAUCCUUAACUUUCAGAAGGCCUAGAGGAACAUUUUUCCUCACAAAAUGGGUCCCACCGAAAUCAGAACAUGAUUAGUUGAUUCCACUUUCUAAUUAUGCUGGGGUUAAUUUGACUCCUUAAUCCCUCACUUCAGCUCUCAGUUCAGUUCAGUCCUAACCGAGAGGAGAGCUAGCAUGGCUGUGUCUACACAAACAGAUUGUCCUGACUGGAGAAUCUUCAAGAAUUUAAGUUUCAAGAAUUUAACCCUUUUGUUUAUAGGCAAGUUAAAAAAUCAAAUAAGCGUAUUAAUACAACAUCUGCAGAGUUUAAAUACACAAGUAAUGACUAUAUUAAAUAAAAAUUAAUGAAAAAUUGCAGAUAUGUAUUUAUUAAAGAAAUCAUUACUCCUUUUCUGAAGGCCUAGAGGGCCUUCUGAGGUUUCUCCUCUGGUUUUAAUUAAAUCAAUACAAUGCACUUUUAAGGUCUAAAUAAAACUGUAACUGUGUAAAAGUACAAUUGUUCAAUUUCAAUAGUACUUGAGCAAAAAUACAAACCUUCCAAAAGCAUUUUCCACCCCUGGUCCUCUUCAAGUCUUCAUAGAAGUAAUGAAUUUUCAUGUUGUUAAACAGCUGGCAAUAAAAAUAUCCACCAUACUCAACAGUUUCUUUAUUUUUUAUUAAUAUUGAUUUUCAGAUGCCAUGUUUUGUUUUUCUUCUUCAGAGCAUGAUUUACAGCUAAGUCUUUGAGACAAGAGGACUUCAGUGCGACACUGCACACCUCACACACCUCCCCCUACACACACACACACACACACACACACACACACACACACACUGCACUAUUCACUAACCGAGCCACCGGCCUAACACGCUUUUCCCUUUUCUGAUCUACAACUGCAAGAUGUUUUUCCUGAGUACCAAACAGAAAACAAGAAACAUCAAAAAAGGUGCAUUUAUGACCAGCAGACUGAUUAGAGUGACAAGAUCAACGUUCAAUUUUCAGAACAAAAACAAAAUGAACAUUCCUGCUUCCUAGGCAGCCAUUUUAGUAGUUAUUUUUAGUCAUCUGCAACAUGCAGAAGGUUCCUGGUGGUCUGAGGGCUUAGCACCACACAUGUGGCUAUAAUGUAGAGUCCAUUAGUCAGUGUUUGAAGUAAACCGUUUUUUUGUGAUAAAAAAGGGCAAGUAUACUGCAAAGCUGAAUUCAUUGGUGAAUAAGCAAAUGUAUUUAGUUUAAAACAGUCUUAAACGGAACCAAAAGUCAUUUCAAAAGUGAUCAUCUUCACAAACUGCUAGACAAAAGUGGGCUUGCUAACCCACAAAUGCAGCUUCUGCAGGCUAAUCCCUCCUUGGUCCUUUGCAGCUUAGCAAAUAAAGCUAACAUUAAAAAGACAGUGUCUUCUCACAGCAAGACGUAAAAGUCAAGAUAUCAAAACACAAUUAAAAUAUAAAUUUAUGAUAACAAAAGAAAAGACAUUGGUACAUCAGCAAGAGCUUAGAGUGAAGCAGCCAUUCUGAGCUGUCAGUGUUUAUGGAAUGGAGCAAUACAAGAUUUUGGUCAAAAGAGUGGUAACCGCACCCCCUGCAGGAUGAGAGCUGGAACUGCAUCCUGUUUUUCCUCAGCCCACAUCUGCUUUACAGAAUUAAAA